UACGGAGGAUGCGUGCGUUAUCCGGAUUUAUUGGGUUUAAAGGGUGCGUAGGCGGAUCGUUAAGUCAGUGGUCAAAUUGAGGGGCUCAACCCCUUCCCGCCAUUGAAACUGGCGAUCUUGAGUGGAAGAGAAGUAUGCGGAAUGCGUGGUGUAGCGGUGAAAUGCAUAGAUAUCACGCAGAACCCCGAUUGCGAAGGCAGCAUGCCGGCUUCCUACUGACGCUGAAGCACGAAAGCGUGGGGAUCGAACAGG
rnacentral:rRNA from 1 species